CCAAUAACCAAAAAAUAUUAAUUUUAGACUAAAAAGACUUUCUAUGCUUAGCUCCUUCUGCUCAGUUUUGACUCCCCUCAGGUAAACUUUAUUCUUAGUUUCUUAGACUUCUUUACAGAGUUUCUUUAUGUAUAAACCAAAAAGAAUAUAAAUGCUUAUCUUUCCCCAUUUUUCACAAAGGGAAUAUAUUAUACACAAUGUUUCCAUUUCCUCUUCUUUUCUCACCAUCAACAUUUUUAAUAUUCCUGACUUUUGUUACUUCCUUUUAUUUUUUAAUUCUUGAGAGAAUAUUUUGUCACAGUUUUAAUCUCUGCUGUGUUCUUCUGACUCUUGUUCUUUGGUAAAUUUUGCUGCUUUCCUUUUUCCUUUCAGCACUGUUGUGCCAGGUAGGAUUCAAUGCAAAUCGAUGAUGGGAGAUUGUAUAUGGGGUUGUUCCUGUGGGUGUGGGUUCCCAGGGAACUGAAUUUCUCAUUCUCUCUUUGGGGAAGUAAAAACUUUUACCUUAGCAAGUAUCAGUGGGUGAAAUGACAUAGUGUGCUAUAUCUGCUUUUGGGUCAGGUUAUCCCAAAGAGAUGGUUAUUUUGUCUCUGUCUUUUUUAGUGCAGCUGGAUAUUGUUCUGGUUUUUAAUUAAAGUGGCUAGACACUAAGGGAUGAGCUGCCCAGGAAUGUUAGAAGUUACUAAGCAUUUAGGACCCUGGCUGACCAGGCAACAGUAAACUCCUCAUCUUUUAAAAACUAUGGCUAACUUAAUUGAUGAGCUCUAGUAGUUUUCCAGUAGCAUCUUUUGGAUCUUCUAUGUAUAUAUCAUGUCUUCUCAAACAGUGACAAUUUUACUUGUUCUCUUCAGCUUGGAUUUCUGUUAUUUCUUGUUACUGCUGUGGCUGACUUCCAAAACUAUAUUGAGUAAAAAUACUGAGAGUAGGCAUCUUUGUCUUGUUCUUGAUCUCAGACAGAAUGCUUUCAGCUUUUCACCAUUGAGUAUGAUGUUAGCCAUUGCGUUUGUCCUAUAUGGCCUUGAUUACAUUGAAGUAUACUCUCUUUAUGACCACUUUCUGGAGAGUUUUUUUAAUCAUAAAAUUCCGCAUCCAUUUAUCAAAACUUUUACUGCAUCUAUUGAAAUGAUCAUAUUGUUUUUAGUCUCUAAAUUGUUAAUGUGGUGUAUUACAGUGAUUGACUUUGUGAAUAUUGAAAAAUCCUUGCAUCCCUGGGAUAAAUCUCACUUGAUCAUGGUGUAUGACCCUUUUAAUGUAUUGUUGGAUUUGGUUUGCUAAUAUUUUGGUAAGGAUUUUUGCAUCCAUGUUCAUCAGUGAUAUUGACCUGGAUACAAAAUUAAUAUACAGAAAUAUAUUGCAUUUUUAUACACUAACAACAAACUAUCAGAAAGAAAUUAAGAAAAGAAAUUAAGAAAACAAUCUCAUUUACCAUCACAUUAAAAAUAAUAAAAUUGCUAGAAAUAAUCCUAAGGAGGUAACC
rnacentral:lncRNA from 1 species